UUCACUUCUGAUCCAUUGAUUCGAUCGAACUUGAAGCGCAGCCUUCCUCACCGAGCCCUCAUCUCAUCUCUGUGUCGAAUUCCGGCCAGCCACCGGCCCACCACCACACCAUACUAUCUCCUCUGACUCUCCAACCUUCCUUCACCACACAGCCACCGCCACGCCACCGCUCUCUCUCUCGCGAUCUCUCUCUCUCGGGUGAUUUGCUCUCACAUCACAUAACUCUCGAUCCAGCACCAGCAUCAAAUAGUGCAGCUACAGUUCUAUAUUUAUUUUUUGGGCUGAGGUUACUUUACAUUGCUUGGAGAUCAUCAGAUUCUAAAUCUUCCCAGAAGAAAGAAAUUGAAGAAGCUCAUUGGUUUUCCCUUGAGUUAGCCAUGAAAGUACUAGGCAUUUACGAGAAGUGGGGAUAAUCUCAGAAUUCAGAGUUGUUCUGAAUUGACUGCCUGCAUUAUUCCUGAUGUCUGAUCACUUUUUAUAUCCUUUUGUCUUCAUCGCGUUUAUGAGCUUACAACAUGAAUUUUGUCCCUUUGCCAGUCUAUUUUGUUAUUUUUGCUGUCUAAAUUUGUUUCCAUGGUGUUGUAACUUGUAACUAAAAGGUUCAGAUACUGCAAAAGUGUGAUUUCUUAUUAUCGAUGUGAUCAAGAUUUAAGUUGUUCUGUGUGUCAAUUAGGUACUUUCCACUGGACUUGGUAGGAUUGUGUCAAACUUGAUAUCACGGAAGCAUACGAAUAGUGCAGCUACAUUAGCUACCAAUUCUUUUUGUUACUUGACCACUAAGAAAUUUUAUGAGAAUUGGAUUUCCAUAUAUUUGUUUUGGCUAUAGAAUCUUAGAUACAUGGUCUUGCUUUAAUGUUUGAUAGCAAAUCAAGUUUUGUGGUUCUGUUUUUGUUUCUCAUACCAUAUGACUCUCUAAUUGUAAACUACUGGAUGGCUACAUAUGUGUACAUGUGAAAUGUAUACUUUCACAACAGUAAACACAAAAGAAAGUAAGCAAGGAAGUGUUAGACUAUGAUGAACUGUCAUUCUGUAGGAUUUAUUAUAGACACCAUUAGUAGAAUCAUAGAUCAGAUUAUUGAGGUAUCACAUUUUAUGCUGUACACAAGGUCAGGGAGACCAUGCUAUAAACUAGGACUAGACAGCAUAAUAUGUCAAAUUUUAGUCCAAAAGCCCAAAACCAUUUCGGGAUUCUCGAUUUGUCCCGAAAUCCUGAAACUAUUUUGGGAUUCCCGAAAAUUGGGAUUCCUGAAAAUUUGGUUUGGGAUCGGUAUUGAAAUUGGGAUUCCCGAAAAUUUCGGUUUGGGAAUCGGGACAAGGGUUUCUGUAUGGGAUCCCAUACCGAACCACCCCUAGUUUCUGCAGUGGUGAUUCUGGGUUUUUGGGGGAAAGGGUUAGAGGGAGUUUCAAUAACAAGCUUUGGGCUAAUCAGUUGAGAACUGACAAGAGGAAGGUGAUACCUGGAGCUGUUCUUGUUGUUCUUACCUCAAAAGAUGCCGAGGCUGUCGUAAGUUAAUCCUUUCUUAUGUUCGAUUGCCCAUUUGAUAAUUAUUUAGAUGAAUAAGUAAUUUGUAUGAUCAUUGCUAUUUGUGUAUGUUAAUAUUUGUUAUUUCGUUAACUUUAUAUGUAUGAUGAAUUAUGAAAAAUAUUUUCUUAAUCAUGGGUUCGGUCUCAGACUCUGCAAAUGCCAUCGUUACCUAGGCGGAGAGUAGACCUGAAAAAUGUAGCUUCGAUUAUAUUAAGACGAGGAAGAAGAAGUUGCACAUGUCAAAGUACAAUUUUACUCAUGUAUUAACAGAUAGUUAACGAAAAAAUCAUUUUUGGACUAAAUUUGCUAAUGGAGUACACCACAAGGGUUUAAAUCCGAGUUUUUUUAGCA